CACUCUCAGCCUUCUCCUCCAGAUGCUUCUUGAAGUUUCCCUCAUCAUUGUCAUGGCCUCUGAGAGCUAAUCCCUGUCUAGCCAGCAACAAUGUGUGCCUUACUGUUGGUGUGCUUGUCAAACGCCUCCCGAGUCCCUACCCUUCUUCCAGUUCCUGAACCCCAAGGAAUUGAUGCUCCCCUGGAAUCGGAGAGUGCGGCUGGGCAGAGUUUGUGGCUCAAUUAGCUGUGCAGCUGGUUGGUAUGGGGAAACUAAAAUAUCCUCACGGGUAUUGAGCUCUUCCUCUGUUUGGGAAGGGUUAUCCUGUCGUCCCUCCUGGUGAGUUACCUCCUCCUGUAAUGUAGUCAGUGACAUGGAUGAUAAUUUGUUAGUAUUUCUGUAUAUAGUUCUCUCAAAUGUUUUAUAUUUGUUUUUAAUUGUUGUUACUUUUUUUUUACAUCUACAACUUACAAUUUUUUCCCACGUAGUAGCCAAAGCAUAGACUGUAGCUAAAGCCGGUA
ensembl:lncRNA